CUUCGGUGACGCAGUGACAGGUGCUGCAUGGCUGUCGUCAGCUCGUGUCGUGAGAUGUUCGGUUAAGUCCGGCAACGAGCGCAACCCACAUCCUUAGUUGCCAGCAGUUCGGCUGGGCACUCUAAGGAAACUGCCCGUGAUAAGCGGGAGGAAGGUGUGGAUGACGUCAGGUCCUCAUGGCCCUUACGGGUUGGGCUACACACGUGCUACAAUGGCAGUGACAAUGGGUUAAUCCCAAAAAGCUGUCUCAGUUCGGAUCGGGGUCUGCAACUCGACCCCAUGAAGUCGGAAUCGCUAGUAAUCGCGUAACGGCAUGACGCGGUGAAUACGUUCCCGGGCCUU
rnacentral:rRNA from 1 species